UUUCCGUAGGUGAACCUGCGGAAGGAUCAUUAUCGUAUAACUGAGGAGCGAGGGAUGUCGCUGAUCCGAAGGUUCGCGCACGCACGAGUGCCUUCACACAAAUCUAUCUCACCCCUAUGUGCACCACCGCGUGGGUCCCCCUUUUGCAUGUUCGGAGGGGUGCUUGCGUUUUCACACAAACUUAGCAUGCGGUGUCGAAUAUAUUUUUUGUUUUUGCGAUCACGCAAUCAAUACAACUUUCAACAACGGAUCUCUUGGCUCUC
rnacentral:misc_RNA from 1 species